GACGAACGCUGGCGGCGUGCUUAACACAUGCAAGUCGAACGCUGAAGCUUGGUGCUUGCACUGGGUGGAUGAGUGGCGAACGGGCGAGUAAUACGUGAGUAACCUGCCCUUGACUCUGGGAUAAGCCUGGGAAACUGGGUCUAAUACUGGAUACGACAUGUCACCGCAUGGUGGUGUGUGGAAAGGGUUUUACUGGUUUUGGAUGGGCUCACGGCCUAUCAGCUUGUUGGUGGGGUAAUGGCUCACCAAGGCGACGACGGGUAGCCGGCCUGAGAGGGUGACCGGCCACCCUGGGACUGAGACACGGCCCAGACUCCUACGGGAGGCAGCAGUGGGGAAUAUUGCACAAUGGGCGGAAGCCUGAUGCAGCGACGCCGCGUGAGGGAUGACGGCCUUCGGGUUGUAAACCUCUUUCAGCACGGAAGAAGCGAAAGUGACGGUACGUGCAGAAGAAGCGCCGGCUAACUACGUG
rnacentral:rRNA from 1 species